UUUAUGCUCAUGAUAAUUUCCCAGAAAUAAAGAUUCUCUUCUUCUAUGGAUUCUCUGACUGCCUUCAAUAUCCAUGGCUUGAGUUUCUUGGUGGUAACUAUGAUCCCCGUUUUGUGAGCAAGAUACUUUCCUUUCGAGAAGUCCAGAGAUUUCCCUGUAGCAUCACACACUACGCCUCCAGCUUCUGCACAAGUGAUUAUUGAACCAGGUGCAUGGUCCCAAAUACACUCACGGUAUCCAUUGAGAGUGAAACGCAAGUAUAUCUCUGCGUCUCCUCGCGACAAAGCCGCAUACUUAGCUUGGCUAUCGAUCCUUACAGGUAAUGCUUUAAUCCCGAGUUUCUACUCUAACCGUAAACAGAUUGUUUUAGUGGAAAGAAUCCCACUUGGUUAUGGCCUACUUACGAGCACAUUGUAAUAGAAAGAAAAAAAACAAGUUGUUACCUUGGCAAUGGUACCAUGGAUGGGAAUUGGUUUGUGGUAUGAUUCUAAGAACUUCGCUUCAUCAAGAUUCUCAUUGCUACUCACUUGCACCUGUGUCAGCACAACAUCUCUUUAACACUUUCAAACAAUUGCAGAUUUAUCACAUGGUUUAGCUUUGGACAGGUGAAUGAUACCUUUUGUGGCAGAGAAUUGCCUUUGAGCGAUUGCACGUAAGUCCCUGAACCCGUUGUAGCAAAGAAAAGACAGCCAACAUCUUCCUGGGAAGAAUUAUCAGUCGCGCAAACCGCAGAAGCCAAAGGAAGAUUUGGGCAAGCCAUGACACCAAGCACCACUUUGCCUUCCACAAGCAAGGCUAACCCCACCGCGUAUUGCUCUCCUCUUACAAAUCUAAACAAGCAGAGAAGUUUAGCAACCAUGUUUUUAAGUGGCUGAAAAGAUUAAGUAUAGAGAAAGCAUAGAGAUUAGAGAGAUUGUCACCCUCUGGUUCCAUCUAUAGGAUCAAGAACCCAGUGGGAACCUUUGCAACCGCCUUCUGAUUUACCGCAGUCUAUAGCAUUUAACACAUCAUCUGUGGAUAGAGGAGAGCUGGUGUACGAUUCCUCAGAGGCUAGAGUAUCUUUCACAAGCUUUGCAAUAUCUUCUAGAAACGCCUCACUUCCAUUCUUCCGCAGAUCUCCAGUUUCCUGUUGGAGCUCCCUCUCCAAUACAAGACUAACCACAGCUUGUGAGCCUGAAGAAACCAUCCGUUAAUGGGAGUGGUAAAAGACAUUUUCUUGAUUGAUUUUAUAGAGAAAACAAGAACUUAGCAAAAACAGAAACUUGAAGUUGAAUUCGCGGGUAUGCAAACGACGAGGUACAAACCGUAAUCAGCUGCAGUAACCGGACUUCUAUCGGAUUUUUUCCAAACUUGGGAUUGCAAAAGAGUCUUCUGCACUUCCUGAUUCAUUACAUAAUAAGGUUUGUUUUAGUUUCAGCGAUUCAUAUAAGCUCCAUGCUCUGACUCUAGCUCAGUAGCUUGUUACCUGGCUGAGACGAGCAGCUAGAGUGACGGCUUUCUUUGCAGCGGCUAGCUCCUUCUCAUAAGACAUUGAAAAGCUUCAAG
rnacentral:lncRNA from 1 species